GAAGCAUUUUAUUUGAUUUCCUUCGGGACUGAUUAUUUUGUGACUGAGUGGCGGACGGGUGAGUAACGCGUGGGUAACCUGCCUUGUACAGGGGGAUAACAGUUGGAAACGGCUGCUAAUACCGCAUAAGCGCACAGCAUCGCAUGAUGCAGUGUGAAAAACUCCGGUGGUAUAAGAUGGACCCGCGUUGGAUUAGCUAGUUGGUGAGGUAACGGCCCACCAAGGCGACGAUCCAUAGCCGACCUGAGAGGGUGACCGGCCACAUUGGGACUGAGACACGGCCCAAACUCCUACGGGAGGCAGCAGUGGGGAAUAUUGCACAAUGGGCGAAAGCCUGAUGCAGCGACGCCGCGUGAGCGAAGAAGUAUUUCGGUAUGUAAAGCUCUAUCAGCAGGGAAGAUAAUGACGGUACCUGACUAAGAAGCACCGGCUAAAUACGUGCCAGCAGCCGCGGUAAUACGUAUGGUGCAAGCGUUAUCCGGAUUUACUGGGUGUAAAGGGAGCGCAGGCGGUGCGGCAAGUCUGAUGUGAAAGCCCGGGGCUCAACCCCGGUACUGCAUUGGAAACUGUCGUACUAGAGUGUCGGAGGGGUAAGCGGAAUUCCUAGUGUAGCGGUGAAAUGCGUAGAUAUUAGGAGGACACCAGUGGCGAAGGCGGCUUACUGGACGAUAACUGACGCUGAGG
rnacentral:rRNA from 1 species